CGGGCGCACGGCGGAUGCCUUGGCACAGGGAGCCGAUGAAGGACGCGGCAAGCUGCGAUAAUCCCCGGCGAGGAGCACACAUCCUUCGACCCGGGGGUCUCCGAAUGGGCGAACCCAUCCACAGCAGUGUGGAUAUCCCCCCGCUGAACGCAUAGGCGGGGGGAGGACAACCCGGGGAACUGAAACAUCUAAGUACCCGGAGGAGAGGAAAUCAAUCUCGAGACUCCCCGAGUAGCGGCGAGCGAAAGGGGACCGAUGGCCAAACCGUCGAGCGGGCAUACCCGGCAGGGGUUCCGCCGACGGGGUUGCAGGGCCGCGCAUCCGGGGGCUGCCGCCCCCGGGCGCAGGUCCGGCUGGGGAGCGGAACGGCAUGGGAGGGCCGGCCGCAGCGGGUGACAGCCCCGUACGCGAACCCAGACCGGACGGCGCGACGCGGUCCCUGAGUAGGGCCGGGCACGUGAAACCCGGUCCGAAUCUGGGUGGACCACCAUCCAAGCCUGAGUACUACCCUGUGACCGAUAGCGCACCAGUACCGUGAGGGAAAGGUGAAAAGCACCCCGGGAGGGGAGUGAAACAGUACCUGAAACCGUGCGCCCACGAGCAGUCGGAGCACCUAUAUGGUGUGACGGCGUGCCUUUUGUAGAAUGAGCCAGCGAGUCGCUGGCGCGGGGCGAGGUUAACCGAAAGGGAGCCGGAGCGAAAGCGAGCCUUAACAGGGCGACUUGAGUCCCGCGCCGCGGACGCGAAGCCGGGUGAGCUAUCCGUGGGCAGGCUGAAGCGGGGGUAAGACCCCGUGGAGGGCCGAACGCACGUCGGUUGAAAACGGCGGCGAUGACCUGCGGAUAGGGGUGAAAGGCCAAUCAAACCCGGAGAUAUCUCGUUCUCCCCGAAAUAGCUUUAGGGCUAGCGUCGCGCGUUCACCGCCGGAGGUAGAGCACCGGAUGGACGAGGGGGCUUCGCCGCCUACCGAAUCCAACCGAACUCCGAAUGCCGGCGGCCCAGAGCGCGGCAGUCAGAGCAUGUGGGCUAAGCUGUGUGCUCGAGAGGGAAACAGCCCGGACCGCCCGCUAAGGUCCCCAAGUUCCAGCCGAGUGGCAAAGGAUGUGCGUCCGCCCAGACAACCAGGAUGUUGGCUUAGAAGCAGCCAUCCAUUCAAAGAGUGCGUAACAGCUCACUGGUCGAGUGGACAUGCGCCGACAAUACACGGGGCUAAGCUGGACACCGAAGCGGCGGGAUUUUAUCUAUAUAGAAUCGGUAGGGGAGCUUCCCAUGGGCGGUGAAGCCGCCGGGCGACCGGCGGUGGAGCGCAUGGGAGUGAGAAUGCUGGCAUGAGUAGCGAGAGACGAGAGAGUAACUCGUCCGCCGUGAACCCGAGGUUUCCUGGGCAAGGCUAAUCCUCCCAGGGUCAGUCGGGGGCUAAGGCGAGGCCGGAAGGCGUAGCCGACGCGCAGCAGGCAGACAUUCCUGCACCGCGCACGCGGCGCUACGACCGACGGGGCGACGGAUGGGGGUGGCUCGGCGGGGUUCUGGACGUCCCCGUGAUGGAGCGCGGCCCGCGGACCAGGGAAAUCCGGUCCGCACGAGGGCGAGGCUCCGGACGAAGCGAUCAAGCGAAGCGAGUGAGCCCGAGGUCCCUAGAAAAACCCCUAGGCAGGCGCGUGCGCGCCCGUACCGCAAACCGACACAGGUGGGUGGGUAGAACAUACCGAGGCGAUCGGGUCAACCAUGGUCAAGGAACUCGGCAAAAUGGCCCCGUAACUUCGGGAGAAGGGGUGCCCGCGCGUACGUGAACCGGCUUGCCCGGGGAGCGGAGGCGGGCCGCAGUGGAGAGGCCCAAGCGACUGUUUACCAAAAACACAGGACUCUGCAGAAGCCGCAAGGCGACGUAUAGGGUCUGACGCCUGCCCGGUGCCGGAAGGUCACGCGGAGGAGUUAGCUUUCGAGCGAAGCCCCGAAGCCAAGCCCCGGUAAACGGCGGCCGUAACUAUAACGGUCCUAAGGUAGCGAAAUUCCUUGUCGGGUAAGUUCCGACCUGCACGAAAGGCGCAACGACUUGGGCGCUGUCUCGACCAUGGACCCGGUGAAAUUGCACUGGUCGUGAAGAUGCGACUUACCCGCGGAAGGACGGAAAGACCCCGUGAACCUUCACUGCAGCUUGGCAUUGGCCGCUGGUCCCGCGUGUAGAGGAUAGGCAGGAGGCACAGAUCCGGAGGCGCCAGCCCCCGGGGAGCCGCCCUUGGAAUACUGCCCUCGCGCGACCGGCGUCCUAACCCGAGGCCGUCAACCGGCUCGGGGACCGUGCCAGGCGGGCAGUUUGACUGGGGCGGUCGCCUCCUAAAGGGUAACGGAGGCGCGCGAAGGUCCGCUCGGGACGGUCGGCAACCGUCCUUUUGAAUGCAAGAGUACAAGCGGGCUUGACUGCGAGGCCCACAAGCCGAGCAGGUGCGAAAGCAGGCUCUAGUGAUCCGGCGGCCCCGAGUGGGUGGGCCGUCGCUCAACGGAUAAAAGGUACUCCGGGGAUAACAGGCUGAUCUCCCCCAAGAGUCCACAUCGACGGCAAGGUUUGGCACCUCGAUGUCGGCUCAUCGCAUCCUGGGGCUGGAGCAGGUCCCAAGGGUACGGCUGUUCGCCGUUUAAAGCGGUACGCGAGCUGGGUUCAGAACGUCGUGAGACAGUUCGGUCCCUAUCCUCCGUGGGCGCAGGAGAAUCGAUGGAGGCUGCCCCCAGUACGAGAGGACCGGGGUGGACGCACCUCCGGUGAACCGGUUGUCGACCAACGGCACGGCCGGGUAGCCGCGUGCGGCGCGGAUAACCGCUGAAGGCAUCUAAGCGGGAAGCCGUUCCAGGGAUUAGUUCUCCUUCCGGUAAGGGCCCAGGUAGACUACCUGGUCGAUAGACGGCAGGUGCAAGGCUGGCGACAGCCUCAGCCGAGCCGCACUAAUCGCCCGAGCUCUUCCGGA
rnacentral:rRNA from 1 species